CAGCAAUUGCAGCCACAGCAAGCUGAGCUUCAGAAGGCCCUUCCCCAAAUGGUGUCGGCACCCGAGCAAAACAGUCUAUCCGUCGGAACACCAUAAAGAUAGACCAAGAACAGUCUGUUCAUCAGGUACUUCUGAUGAAAGCUCCUCUGUAGCAACUCAUAGACACCACAUAAGAGGAAAAACAUCUCAAGGAGGAAGAAUAAACGAGAAGAACUGUCUUUACCUGAAAAUGACAACCUAGAACAGACAUGGUGACAAAUGUCUCCAAGUCACACAGGAUGGUCCCGGCUUUGAGUGGCGUGAGGCUCUCCUGUUACUAUUUCCCAUUCCAGCAUUGACAUAUUUUAUUACUAAUUGCUUCUUCAAACCUCAUCAAUGAUCUUUUGCACUUUCUGCAAAGAAAUGUUGAAAGCUUUUAAUGAAGAAAUUAAUUAUGUAUAGUCUUGAAUGCAAAUGAGACUCAUUAAUUGUAGCAUUGAUACCCUCUCCUAGCACAAACUAUGAGAACUGGCAUUAUACAUAUUUAUAAGGUACCGUACAUUUUGACAGAUGCCUGCAGACUGUGAUGAAAAGGUGGUCAAGGUGUCUGAAAGGACGCCUUCUCUCUGACAGAUGCAUGCGCCGCGUUUCGUGAGAAGUUUGGUUCGGUUGUCAGCAAUAGUGACUUUAGAAUGUUGAGACAUGAAAACUUUGGGCAUAAAAUGAAUUUUCCCCCCAAAUGGAAAACUUGAGUGGAGUGGAGAUGAUUGGAACCAGGAUUGACUGUUUCCUGGGAAAAUACGUCUGAGGGUUCCUGGUGCCUGCCGUGUGAUUGUCCAAGAGCCAUUCUCAUCAAAGCCGGAUGGCGGAGUGUUGGAAUUCGCCUCUUUCAUGCCCGAGAAUAGAGUCAACCUCUGGAUGAUCACCCCUGGGCCACUAGGAAACAACAUUCUGCUUCACAGAGGUCUGUGCUAAACAAAGACCCCGGUAGGGAGAAAGUGGGCACAAUAGUUUGUUGCUUCUCCCGUCAAGAAAUAGUGUUCAUUGGCCCACCCUUCUGAUCUUGGCUUGGUCAUGUGACUUUCAUUGGCCAAUGAGUCCUCAGCCACCAUGAUACAAGCAGAAGACUGCAAAGUGCUUCUUCCCUGGGUUUACCAUCCCUUGCUUCUGCAGAAAACCUUUCU
rnacentral:lncRNA from 1 species